rnacentral:tRNA from 2 species
GCCGCCGUAGCUCAGCCCGGUGGAGCGCCGGCCUUGUAAGCAAGUACUAGGUAGGCCCGUCGAGAAAGCCGGUGGACGCGGGUUCAAAUCCCGCCGGCGGCU